UACGAAGGGGGCUAGCGUUGUUCGGAAUUACUGGGCGUAAAGCGCACGUAGGCGGAUAUUUAAGUCAGGGGUGAAAUCCCGGGGCUCAACCCCGGAACUGCCUUUGAUACUGGUCGAUCUGAGUAGGAAGAGGUGAGUGGAAUUCCGAGUGUAGAGGUGAAAUUCGUAGAUAUUCGGCAGGAACACCAGUGGCGAAGGCGGCUCACUGGUCCUACUGACGCUG
rnacentral:rRNA from 1 species